GUCAUGGGUUUGGAGAUAUGGAUCAUAUUUCUGUGUGAAUUCCAUUGCUAAAAUUAGUCUCGGUCAUUCCUUUCAACCACAGAAUAGUACGGAAGGUGCAGGUAGACCAACUGAUGGCAGACGGUCUUUGGUUUGAGAGAGGAAAAUCUGCAAACUGGCCAUUACCUAAACGUUCCUCGAUGGAUGACCAAGGAAUCGAUGGAUUCCAAAUCCACCACUUCUGAUCUUAGAAAGAAGGGAGGAUUUUCAGAUGCUUUGAGAAACUUUUCUCACCUGUUUCACUUCCCUUUAGAUGCCAGAUGUUCUGUAAUCAGCGCUUAAGUGAUCAAAACAAGAUGAGAAAUCUGGAAUUGGAUUCAGUGAGGCUGGCUUGAUCUUCAACAGACAAGGUAGGUGAAGAUGCAGUGCAGUCUCUGUAGCAAAGAUAAGCAAUGUAAAAUGUCUUCUUGUAGUACUUCAAAUACUGAUACUUCAUCAGCCCAAUCAUCUCGUCCCAUCAGCAUUUUAUUCAAAUUUUGCUUGGACAUGGAAAAGCUCAAUAUGUUCAUUGUACCAAAUUAAAGGUGUUGACAAGGAUGCAUCUAUACGUGUUACAUUGGUUUCCAAUGUGCUUUUACAUCUAACAUGACUAUAAUAUUAUGAAAUCUUGAACUUUUUAAUAAUAAUUAAAUUGUUUGUGAUGAAACAUCUAUUAAAAUAAUAGGAUUUGAAAUUGUAAUUAGUUAAUUGUUUUGUCCCCUCGACUUCUAGUGUGCUUAGUUACCUUUGUUAAAUUGUGCUGAAGUGUUGGUCAA